rnacentral:rRNA from 1 species
GAUGAACGCUGGCGGCGUGCCUAAUACAUGCAAGUCAAGCGAACAGACGAGGAGCUUGCUCCUUUGACGUUAGCGGCGGACGGGUGAGUAACACGUAGGUAACCUACCUAUAAGACUGGGAUAACUUCGGGAAACCGGAGCUAAUACCGGAUAAUAUUUCGAACCGCAUGGUUCGAUAGUGAAAGAUGGCUUUGCUAUCACUUAUAGAUGGACCUGCGCCGUAUUAGCUAGUUGGUAAGGUAACGGCUUACCAAGGCAACGAUACGUAGCCGACCUGAGAGGGUGAUCGGCCACACUGGAACUGAGACACGGUCCAGACUCCUACGGGAGGCAGCAGUAGGGAAUCUUCCGCAAUGGGCGAAAGCCUGACGGAGCAACGCCGCGUGAGUGAUGAAGGCCUUCGGAUCGUAAAACUCUGUUAUUAGGGAAGAACAAACGUGUAAGUAACUGUGCACGUCUUGACGGUACCUAAUCAGAAAGCCACGGCUAACUAC